rnacentral:rRNA from 1 species
CCCUUAGAUGUUCUGGGCGGCCCGCGCACUACAAUGGCGCUUUCAGCGAGUUCCUAUGUUGAAUUUUCCUGGGUAUUCUUGGAAGCGGCGUCUUGACUUGGGAUAGAUCCUUGUAAUUGUUGGUUUUGAACGAGGAAUUCCUUGUAAUCGCGGUUGAUCAGCUCGUGUUGAAUACGUCCCUGCCCUUUGUACACACCGCCCGUCGCUCCUACCGAUGAAUCGUCCGGUGAAGUUCACAGAGUGGCGGUUCGUGGAGUUGCUCGCGAAGUGAAAUGGACCUCACGAUUUAGAGGAAGGAGAAGUCGUAACA